GGCCAGGUGGCGGAGUGGUUAACGCGGUAGACUCGAAUUAGCCUCCAUGUGAGGCUUCAAAGCGAUCUACUUCCUUCGGGAGCGUCUGUUCGAAUCAGGCCCUGGUCG